rnacentral:rRNA from 1 species
GUUGGCCUCGGAUCAGGUAGGGAUA